rnacentral:rRNA from 1 species
AAGCUCGUAGUUGAAUUUCGGGGUUAGUAGGUUGGUCAUGCCUCUGGUAUGUACUGGUCUCACUGAUUCCUCCUUCCUUAUGAACCGUAAUGCCAUUAAUUUGGUGUUGCGGGGAAUUUGGACUGUUACUUUGAAAAAAUUAGAGUGUUUAAAGCAAGCUAACGCUUGAAUACAUUAGCAUGGAAUAAUGAAAUAGGACGUUCGACUCUUAUUUGUUGUUCGUAGUAUGAGUAUGUAUAGUAGGAUAGUGG